rfam:Stegodyphus mimosarum contig9846, whole genome shotgun sequence.
GCCUUCAUGGUGUAGUGGUCAGCAUGUUCGACGUAUAACCGAGAGGUCCGUGGUUCGAUUCUCGGCGAAAGCG